rnacentral:rRNA from 1 species
UGGCUAACUCCGUGCCAGCAGCCGCGGUAAUACGGAGAGGGCUAGCGUUAUUCGGAAUUAUUGGGCGUAAAGGGCGCGUAGGCGGGUUAAUAAGUUAAAAGUGAAAUCCCAAGGCUCAACCUUGGAAUUGCUUUUAAAACUGUUAAUCUAGAGAUUGAAAGAGGAUAGAGGAAUUCCUAAUGUAGAGGUGAAAUUCGUAAAUAUUAGGAGGAACACCAGUGGCGAAGGCGUCUAUCUGGUUCAAAUCUGACGCUG